GUGCUUGUUUGGACAGCACACACGCUACAGUUGGAAUGACACGUGGAAGACGGCAUGGCCCCCAAGGGUGACGUGCAAAUUGGUGAAGCAUUUCACGUUUUU
rnacentral:snRNA from 1 species